rnacentral:rRNA from 1 species
UUAGCAGUGAGGAAUAUUGGUCAAUGGCCUAACGGCUGAACCAGCAAUUUGGAAGAAUGUAUAGCGAAAGCUGAUUGCAUCAACAUAUUGUUGAUGCAAGAUUGAUUAUGUCAAAUAAAAUUCUGGGUCGAUUUAUGAUAAUGACAUUUUUUACCCAAGUCUUGACCAAAAUACGUGCCAGCAGUCGCGGUAAGACGUAAAAGACUAGUGUUAUUCAUCUUUAAUGGGUUUAAAGGGUACCUAGACGGCAGAUAAAGCCUUUGUGGUACUAAUUUGCUAGAGUUACUUACGAGGGGGUAUUAAAGUACUGUAGGUUUAGAGAUGAAAUUCUGUUAUACCUUUUUUCGAAAGAAAAACUAUGGCACAGGUAUAGGUGAAAACAUCCCCUUGUGUGAUAACUGACGUUGAGGGACGAAGGCUUUGUGUCGCGAACAGGAUUAGAUACCCUAGUAGUCAAAGCAGAAAAUGAUGAAUGUCAUAGAUUAGAUAAACAAUUUAUUCUAUAAACGAAAGUGUAAGCAUUCCACCUCAAGAGUAACUUGGCAACAUCGGAACUGAAAUCAUUAGACCGUUUCUGAAACCAGUAGUGAAGUAUGUCGUUUAAUUUGAUACCACGCAAAAAACCUUACCACAAUUUGAAUAUUUAUAUAAAUUUUUUACUGAUUUUAUAGGUUAUUUAAAUGCCUGUUUAAAUUAGUGCUUUAUUUUAUUUUAUUUAUUUGCAUUACUAACAAUAAAUAAUGCGAAAAAAAAUAAACAAAAAAAAGGUGAUAUAUUUACAAGUGUUGCACGGCUGUCUUCAGUUAAUGUCGUGAGAUUUUGGUUAGUUCCAUUAAAUUAACGUAAACCCUUGCUUUAUUUUUAUAUAAAGUAGUUCUCCACUAGAUUGGAUAUGAUAACCAGGGACUAAGACAAGUCAUCAUGGCCUAAUAUUGUAG